AGAGUUUGAUCCUGGCUCAGGAUGAACGCUGGCGGCGUGCCUAAUACAUGCAAGUCGAACGAGUUCUGAUUAUUGAAAGGUGCUUGCAUCUUGAUUUAAUUUUGAACGAGUGGCGGACGGGUGAGUAACACGUGGGUAACCUGCCCUUAAGUGGGGGAUAACAUUUGGAAACAGAUGCUAAUACCGCAUAAAUCCAAGAACCGCAUGGUUCUUGGCUGAAAGAUGGCGUAAGCUAUCGCUUUUGGAUGGACCCGCGGCGUAUUAGCUAGUUGGUGAGGUAACGGCUCACCAAGGCAAUGAUACGUAGCCGAACUGAGAGGUUGAUCGGCCACAUUGGGACUGAGACACGGCCCAAACUCCUACGGGAGGCAGCAGUAGGGAAUCUUCCACAAUGGACGCAAGUCUGAUGGAGCAACGCCGCGUGAGUGAAGAAGGCUUUCGGGUCGUAAAACUCUGUUGUUGGAGAAGAAUGGUCGGCAGAGUAACUGUUGUCGGCGUGACGGUAUCCAACCAGAAAGCCACGGCUAACUACGUGCCAGCAGCCGCGGUAAUACGUAGGUGGCAAGCGUUAUCCGGAUUUAUUGGGCGUAAAGCGAGCGCAGGCGGUUUUUUAAGUCUGAUGUGAAAGCCCUCGGCUUAACCGAGGAAGUGCAUCGGAAACUGGGAAACUUGAGUGCAGAAGAGGACAGUGGAACUCCAUGUGUAGCGGUGAAAUGCGUAGAUAUAUGGAAGAACACCAGUGGCGAAGGCGGCUGUCUGGUCUGUAACUGACGCUGAGGCUCGAAAGCAUGGGUAGCGAACAGGAUUAGAUACCCUGGUAGUCCAUGCCGUAAACGAUGAAUGCUAGGUGUUGGAGGGUUUCCGCCCUUCAGUGCCGCAGCUAACGCAUUAAGCAUUCCGCCUGGGGAGUACGACCGCAAGGUUGAAACUCAAAGGAAUUGACGGGGGCCC
rnacentral:rRNA from 1 species